GGGUGGAGGGCGGCGAUCGGAGGGCGAGGCUGAUGGGGGAGAGAGGGCGGUGAGAUCUACAGGGGAACUAAGGGGCUGUCUGCGCGGUCCGCGCUGAGCUUUCAGGGUCGCUUCUGCCGGAAGGCGCGCUUGUUCCUGCGGCGCUGCCUGCCUGUGUCGUCGUCCCUUCUUUAAACCUCAGGAUUUCUCCGGUUUCCCAGACCGUAAGGUACAUUUAAACUGCUUUCAUUUUGUCACAUAUGCCCUUUUAUAUUAUGGACGUAACAGUUAUUACUUUUACGUUUCCUAUUUGUGAAUUAUUCAUAGAUAAAGAAUUUACGGAAGCAUUUAGUUUUAGUUGACAUAUUGCGUAUAUUUAUGGAUAACAGGGUGAUAUUUUGAUUCUUGUAUUCAUUGGGGAAGAUUCAGUCAAGCUAAUUCACAGGUGCAUCAAAUCACCAGCUAACUAAUACUUCAUGGCGAGACCACUAAACACCUGUUAUUUCGCUUUUCUAAAAUGUACGGCAUGACUUCGGAGCAAACGGUACUGCCUGGCCUCAGUAGCCCGAGACUGAGCAUUUCUGAAGCGCGGGGUCCCCGUUUCUGAGAGGGUCGUGGCUGCAUGCAGGUUCCAAAGGUGGAAACACAGAUGACAGAUUUUUGGUCUUUUCAUCGUUUCCUAUAGCACAGUGACAGAGACAGGCUUCCCUGGACCCCCGCCCUGGCAGUGGCCGUGUCACUUCACUCAGGCCCAGGAAGAAGGCAGGCUGUGGUCUUCCACUGGGCAGCAACACCGAAAGAAUUUCUGACGUGGGUGAACUCUUGGAUCACCGUGCCCAGGCUGACGGAGUCUGCAGCAGAUGCAAUAAGGGCUUUGGCGCUGGGAAGUGGAGCUCACCCAUCUGCCAAGCCCAAGGUUUGGAAUAGUUCACCAGUGAAGUCAUCUCAACAAGCACAGGGCCUUCACUCCUAACAACAAUCACAUGAAUUUGGAAGGGGAUCCUUCCCCAACUGAACCUUCACUUGAGACCUGAUCCUUGGCCAUCAUCUGCAUCUGGAUUCAUGAUACAGAGAAACUUGAGUAAUGAUGACAAUGGCAGCCAUGCUGUCUCCCGUUCUUACCACUGGAUGUGAAGAAAUUCUAGAUGCGAUCCAGCCAAUCUGUACUCGACUCUCAGUUCCAUCUUCUCAACUCACAGUGUCUUCCAAAGUCCAUGCCACACCACAGCCUGGAAAAUCUCCCAAAGCAGUGUCUUGAGGCAAUGGUAGAGCUCAUGUCACAGCAUGGUAUGUCUCAGCUGUGGUGUCAGGGAACACUGGCUUCAUACAGUGCAUUGGGAAAGGUUCUCUACUCGUCUGAUUUUAUUGAUUGUUAUUAAUGCUGAAAGGCUUUGAAUAACACACCAGUGAAGUCAUCUUGACCUGGACAGAAAUUGAAUCCUUACAAGAAUUCUAGGAGCUUGGAAGGGGAUCCUUCCCCAGGUCUUCUUGUAGUCUCCACACUGCCUUCUACAGUGGUUGAACUAAUUUAAACAUCCACCGACAGUGUAGAGGUUAAUCCUAAGAAUAGUUACAUGAGCUUGGAAGGAGACCCUUCCCCAGCUGAGCCUUAGCCUGGGCCAUCACCUACAUCUGGACUGAAGACCCAGAGAAACUGUGAGUAAUAUGUGUGUGCUUUUGAACCACUAAGAUGUAUAGUAGUCUGUUAUGCACCAAGUCUUAAGUAAUAUACCUGACAGUAAUUGCAAUGUGGUAUUCUAGAUUAGGUCUUGGAACACAUAAACAUAUCAUUAUUAGAAAUUCUGGUAAAAUAUGAAGGAAAUCUGUAGAUCAGUUAAUAGUUUUGAAACAUAGUGAAAUUCUUAGUUUUCAUGAAUAUACUAUAGUUGUAAUAGUAACAUUUUAGUUAGCUGAAGGGUAUAUGAAACUGUCUGUUCUACCUGUGUGUCUUUUUGUAAAUCUGCAAUUAUUUCAAAAUAAAUUUGUUUUCUAAAAUUAUUAUAUCUUUAAAAAGAAAACAAAGACAUAAGCAAAAAUCUUUGGCUUCCAGAGAUGAAUGGGCACAUAGGGAGAGAAUAGAAAAUGAGCAUUUUUUAUCUAAUCACCUUUCCAAACCCAGGUACACCUGCCUCGGGAAGGCACCAUCAAGCUCUAGGGACUGUCGUCCUUUUUCUCCUUCUCUGUUACCCAGUCACCAGUUGGAAUGUCAGCAACCACUUGUUCAGAAAAAGCUGCCUUUCCUUCACUUAUCCAGAAAGCCCCAUGUGCAGACAUCAUUGAGCAGUGUAUAUUCAGGAUCCCAUUGAAGCAUUUUUGGGAGCUAUGACUCAGAUAUUAGAAGCCAAGAAUUAGAAAUUUCAGUGACAGGGAACAUAAAUCAUAUUUCUGCAUUCAGGAUAGUGUUUUCUUGGUACAGGGAUUUCUUCUUCAAGUAAUCAGAAGACAACUGUACCUUCAAACCUUUCAGAAAAAUAUGUCCUAAUUUAGUUCUUUUCAUUCUACAGACUCCAUCAGGAAUUGUCUGGGACCAUGCCUUCUAUUGCCCACUGCCAGCCCGAAAGCCACCAAGGUAGCAGGUAAGCAGAGUACAACAAACGUUUCUAACAAAUGGGUUUAGGCCACACCCUACUUACAGAGACCUGGAUAUGAAUCUUUUACACAACAGGAUUUUUGCAGUUGGAUGCUAGUGAGUGGAGAAAGCAGAUGACAAAGUGCUGAGCAGGGAGUUCCCAGACACACUCUAACUGCAUGGAAGAUGUGAUUUCCCACAAUACCUUAAACCAACAGUUCCUUAGAGGUUGGCCUGGACAUCACAAUUCUAAAAGAGAUGCCAUUUAAAAGAAACCAAAUUCUAGACCAGAUCAUGAGGCAAAUACCCAACACUUGGACUCCACACUCUAACCUGAUUAGAAGUUGGAGUUCAGUGGAAGAAUGUCUUGGAUAUUUGAGAACAUGACACUAUG